rnacentral:rRNA from 1 species
GAGCGGAAGAUGGGAGCUUGCUCCCUGAUGUUAGCGGCGGACGGGUGAGUAACACGUGGGUAACCUGCCUGUAAGACUGGGAUAACUCCGGGAAACCGGGGCUAAUACCGGAUGCUUGUUUGAACCGCAUGGUUCAAACAUAAAAGGUGGCUUCGGCUACCACUUACAGAUGGACCCGCGGCGCAUUAGCUAGUUGGUGAGGUAAUGGCUCACCAAGGCAACGAUGCGUAGCCGACCUGAGAGGGUGAUCGGCCACACUGGGACUGAGACACGGCCCAGACUCCUACGGGAGGCAGCAGUAGGGAAUCUUCCGCAAUGGACGAAAGUCUGACGGAGCAACGCCGCGUGAGUGAUGAAGGUUUUCGGAUCGUAAAGCUCUGUUGUUAGGGAAGAACAAGUGCCGUUCAAAUAGGGCGGCACCUUGACGGUACCUAACCAGAAAGCCACGGCUAACUACGUGCCAGCAGCCGCGGUAAUACGUAGGUGGCAAGCGUUGUCCGGAAUUAUUGGGCGUAAAGGGCUCGCAGGCGGUUUCUUAAGUCUGAUGUGAAAGCCCCCGGCUCAACCGGGGAGGGUCAUUGGAAACUGGGGAACUUGAGUGCAGAAGAGGAGAGUGGAAUUCCACGUGUAGCGG